GAUGAACGCUGACAGAAUGCUUAACACAUGCAAGUCAACUUGAACUUCGGUUUGGGUGGCGGACGGGUGAGUAACGCGUAAAGAACUUGCCUCACAGAUAGGGACAACAUUUGGAAACGAAUGCUAAUACCUGAUAUUAUGAUUUUAGGGCAUCCUAGAAUUAUGAAAGCUAUAUGCGCUGUGAGAGAGCUUUGCGUCCCAUUAGCUAGUUGGAGAGGUAACGGCUCACCAAGGCGAUGAUGGGGUAGCCGGCCUGGAGAGGGUGAUCGGCCACAAAGGGGACUGAGACACGGCCCUUUACUCCUACGGGGAGGCAGCAGUGGGGAAUAUUGGACAAAUGGACCAAGAGUCUGAUCCAGCAAUUCUGUGUGCACGAUGAAGUUUUUUCGGAAAUGGAAAAGUGCUUUCAGUUGGGGAAGAAAAAAAAUGACGGUACCAAACAGAAGAAGUGACGGCUAAAAUACGUGCCCAGCAGCCGCGGUAAUACGUAUGUCACAAGCCGUUAUCCGGGAUUUAUUGGGCGUAAAGCGCGUCUAGGUGGUUAUAUAAGUCUGAAUGUGAAAAUGCAGGGGCUCAAACUCUGUUUUUGCGUUGGAAACUGUGUAACUAGAGUACUGGAGAGGUAAGCGGAACUACAAGUGUAGAGGUGAAAUUCGUAGAUAUUUGUAGGAUUGCCCGUUGGGGAAGCCAGCUUACUGGACAGAUACUGACGCUUAAAGGCGAAAGCGUGGUAGCAAACGGGUUAGAUACCCUUUUAGUCCAAGGCCAAUUCCACAGUGGAUUUAAGGUUAUGGGGGCGGUGAACUGGGGGGCGCCCCGAACUAAGUUUUUUUUCCGUGGGGGUGGCUACUUUCCUCCAUAAAAAUAG
rnacentral:rRNA from 1 species